CGGGGUGCACCAGGCGCGAAAACUCUACAAUGCAGGCAACUGCGAUAGGGGAACAUCGAGUGAUCCUCAUAUUGGGGGUCUGUCCACCCGCCUAAAAAGCGGGUGUUAGCAAGGGCCGGGCAAGACCGGUGCCAGCCGCCGCGGUAAUACCGGCGGCUCGAGUGGUGGCCGAUAUUAUUGAGUCUAAAGGGUCCGUAGCCGGCUUUGCAAGUCUCUCGGGAAAUCCAGCGGCUUAACCGUUGGUCGUCCGGGGGGUACUACAUUGCUUGGGACUGGGAGAGGUAGGAGGUACUCAGGGGGUAGGAGUGAAAUCCUGUAAUCCUUUGGGGACCACCGGUGGCGAAGGCGUCCUACCAGAACAGGUCCGACGGUGAGGGACGAAAGCUAGGGGCACGAACCGGAUUAGAUACCCGGGUAGUCCUAGCCGUAAACGAUGCUCGCUAGGUGUCACAACAGUCGUGAACUGUUGUGGUGCCGUAGGGAAGCCGUGAAGCGAGCCACUUGGGAAGUACGACCGCAAGGUUGAAACUUAAAGGAAUUGGCGGGGGAGCACAAGGGCGAUUCGCG
rnacentral:rRNA from 1 species